UGAGGAAUAUUGCUCAAUGGGCGAAAGCCUGAAGCAGCAACGCCGCGUGCGCGAUGAAGGCCUUCGGGUCGUAAAGCGCUUUUGAGAGGGACGAGAUAGGACGGUACCUCUCGAAUAAGUCACGGCUAACUACGUGCCAGCAGCCGCGGUAAAACGUAGGUGGCAAGCGUUAUCCGGAUUCACUGGGCGUAAAGCGCGUGCAGGUGGCUUCGUAAGUUGGACGUUAAAUCUCCCGGCCUAACCGGGAGGAGUCGUUCAAUACUGCGGGGCUGGAGGGCAGAAGAGGGGGGUGGAAUUGCUGGUGUAGUGGUGAAAUGCGUAGAUAUCAGCAGGAACACCUGUGGCGAAAGCGGCCCCCUGGCCUGCUCCUGACACUCAGACGCGAAAGCUAGGGGAGUGAACGGGAUUAGAAACCCCGGUAAUCCUAGCCGUAAACGAUGGAUGCUAGGUGUGGGUGGUAUUGACCCCAUCCGUGCCGAAGCCAACGCGUUAAGCAUCCCGCCUGGGGACUACGACCGCAAGGUUA
rnacentral:rRNA from 1 species